GACGAACGCUGGCGGCGUGCUUAACACAUGCAAGUCGAACGAGUGGCGAACGGGUGAGUAAUACGUGAGUAACCUGCCCUCUUUUUGGGAUAAGCCUUGGAAUCGGGACCUAAUACCGGAUAUAGGGGGCUGGGGUCGCGGCCUAUGAGCUUGUUGGUGGGGGUAUGGCCUACCAAGGCGGUGACGGGUAGCCGGCCUGGGAGGGGGAACGGGCAAAUUGGGACUGAGAUACGGCCCAGACUCCUAACGUGGGGAGCAGUGGGGGAUAUUGGACAAUGGGAGAAAGGCUUAUGCAGCGACGCCGCGUGGGGGAUGAAGGAUUUCGGGUUGUAAAACUCUUUCGCUAGCGAACGGGUAGGUGGAGAAGAAGCGCCGGCUAACUACGUGCCAGCAGCCGCGGUAAUUC
rnacentral:rRNA from 1 species